CUGGAAUUGAAUGUACUGAGUUCUUUGCAAGGAAGCACUUUUUAUAAAGAAGCCUUCAAAGAUUUAAUAAGCUAUAAAAGUAAAAGCCAGAAGAUAGCCAGCCUGAACAGACGAGUAGAAUGAGGUGCUGAGUGCAGGUGAAGCACAGAAAGGUGUCUCAUUUCUGCAUGUACAUCCUGUAGUGCUGAGCUCCUCUCCAGGGACCUGCUGGUUCUGCCAUGGUGUGGAGAUGUUUGGCUCUGGUGGAUGCUCUCUCCAGG
rnacentral:lncRNA from 1 species